GAUGAACGCUAGCUACAGGCUUAACACAUGCAAGUCGAGGGGCAGCACAGUGUAGCAAUACAUGGGUGGCGACCGGCGCACGGGUGCGUAACGCGUAUCCAACCUUCCCGUUACUCUUGGAUAGCCUUCCGAAAGGGAGAUUAAUACAAGAUGGUAUUCAAAUUUCGCAUGUUAUUUGAAUUAAAGAUUUAUCGGUAACGGAUGGGGAUGCGUGACAUUAGGUAGAUGGCGGGGUAACGGCCCACCAUGCCUACGAUGUCUAGGGGGUUCUGAGAGGAAGGUCCCCCACACUGGAACUGAGACACGGUCCAGACUCCUACGGGAGGCAGCAGUGAGGAAUAUUGGUCAAUGGUCGGAAGACUGAACCAGCCAAGUAGCGUGAAGGAUGAAGGUUCUAUGGAUUGUAAACUUCUUUUAUACGGGAAUAAAACCACCUACGUGUAGGUGCUUGUAUGUACCGUAUGAAUAAGCAUCGGCUAACUCCGUG
rnacentral:rRNA from 1 species